ensembl:lncRNA
GCCAUGUGCAGACACGACACGCUGUCAAGCUCUUCUGCAACCAAGGAAGUCGCUUUUUCCGUAUUCUCAGAAUUCAAUGUAGACUACAGCAGGAGGAAGGAUGUGGAGCAAUAGACAGUUUGCGUGAGACGUCAAGUGAGGAGUUCAGUGGAAAUCGGUAUGGUAUAGCGUUCUGAGCCAACAAAUGUCUUUGUUAGAGCUUGAACAUACAUACAGCAUUCAGAAGCUCAGAGAUGUGCAGCGCUGCAGGAACAAGACGUCGCAACACUGGAUGGCACACUGAGAUGAAACACCAUCAGUUUCACUUUUUCGGAACAGCUCUGUCAAAAAGAGAGAAAGAAAAAAAGAGAAAAAACCCAGAGAACAGCCACAGAAGAAUAUGUGAGACUUCAAUAGCUGUUAAUUAUUUAAAACUACAUUCAUUGCAUGAUUAUAGGAUGUUCUGUCGACUACACUGCUACUAUUACUUUUUUUUUGUAUCUAAUGGAGAAAUGUAUAUGUGCUGGAUAUGAUCGAAGAUUGCACUGAUGUCAUUUGCUCACUCAGUACUCAGUGUAGGGUCUGUCUUAUAUCA